GACGAACGCUGGCGGCGUGCCUAAUACAUGCAAGUAGAACGCAGUUGCGAACGGGUGAGUAACGCGUAGGUAACUGCCUGGUAGCGGGGGAUAACUAUUGGAAACGAUAGCUAAUACCGCAUACUACCAGAUGGACCUGCGUUGUAUUAGCUAGUUGGUGAGGUAACGGCUCACCAAGGCAAAGACACAUAGCCGACCUGGGGAGGUGGUCGGCCAAGCUGGGGCUGGGACACAGGCCAAACUCCUACGGGGGGCAGCAGUAAGGGAUCGUCGGCAAUGGGGGGAACCCUGACCGGGCAACGCCGCGUGAGGGAAAGAGGUUUUCGGAUCGUAAAGAUCUGUUGUUAAGGGAGCGGUACUUAACCAGAAAGGAACGGCUAACUACGUGCCAGCCGCCGCGGUAAUAC
rnacentral:rRNA from 1 species